GGAUGUGUGGGUACUCAACCUGUGCCAUCUGUCACUCAUUGAUUGCAUGACUUUAUUCAGCUAAUAUGGCUGGCUAGGUAUGUGUCCCCUUUAUCCCUUGCUGCUCAAUUAGUGUCCCUCCCUGAAGCCGCACCCUGUAUCCAAGAGGGCUAUCUUCCCAAAUAGAGUAGAACUGGUCUUCUGUCAAGGGUAUAAAGGUGACUGCACUCCUGUGCUAGAAACUCCAAACAAGCUCUCAAAGAGAAAUCCCAUUAGGUAGAACCUGUUUGAGAUGUGUGUUGCCACUCUACAGAAAGUGGGCAGUGUUUCAUU
rnacentral:snRNA from 2 species